rnacentral:rRNA from 1 species
CCUACGGGUGGCUGCAGUGAGGAAUAUUGGUCAAUGGGCGCGAGCCUGAACCAGCCAAGUAGCGUGAAGGAUGACUGCCCUACGGGUUGUAAACUUCUUUUAUAAAGGAAUAAAGUGAGGCACGUGUGCCUUUUUGUAUGUACUUUAUGAAUAAGGAUCGGCUAACUCCGUGCCAGCAGCCGCGGUAAUACGGAGGAUCCGAGCGUGAUCCGGAUUUAUUGGGUUUAAAGGGAGCGUAGAUGGGUUGUUAAGUCCGUUGUGAAAGUUUGCGGUUCAACCGUAAAAUUGCAAUUGUUACUGGAAGUCUGGAGUACAUUUGAGGGAGGGGGAAUGGGUGGUGUAGAGGUGA